AGCUUUAUAGUUUAAUAAAAACAUUAAUUUUGUAAAUUAAAAAUAAAUUAUAUUUUAAAGCUU
rnacentral:tRNA from 1 species